UGGGGUUCUGUACCAUGUGCAGAACUUGCUGGAGGAGAGAAUUCACCAUGGAGGAAUAUCCUGUGCCUGACCGGCCAUAGCCUGCUCCCUCUGGGUUCUCUGCCCCCUCUUCUGUGGAGUUUCUGGCAGUUGUUUUGAUGAACAGAUACUGCAGCUGAUGGGGAUGUUCUGUGGAUGGGAUUUAAAGUGUGGGAUCCAGUGAAUUUCCUAGUGCCAGGAUUUCCUGGUGAUUUAAGCACUAACUUGGGAUUUGGAGACACCACCACUGUGCCUUUGGAUUCAUCAUGUUUCUGAAGUCUCAGGACAGCUGGCAAAAGAGAAAAUUCAAACAAGGUUGAUGCUCAGUGCUGCAAUGAGGUGUUUGUGUUGAACUCUGUGUGGAUAAGCUGCUUCUCCUCUGUGCCUCAGCACUGGAAUGAACAUCAACAUCUAGGACCUAGACAUCAAGGAGAAGAAGAGCAAUGGUUCCUCAGAUCUGCUUUUCCAGGGUGAUCUCUCUACCAGUUUGAGACCUGGUCUCCAAAAGUGGGU